rnacentral:rRNA from 1 species
UACGGGAGGCAGCAGUGGGGAAUAUUGCACAAUGGGCGAAAGCCUGAUGCAGCUAUGCCGCGUGUAUGAAGAAGGCCUUAGGGUUGUAAAGUACUUUCAUCGGGGAGGAAAAACAAAACUAAUAAUUUUAUUUCUUGACGUUACCCGAAAAAGAAGCACCGGCUAACUCCGUGCCAGCAGCCGCGGUAAUACGGAGGGUGCUAGCGUUAAUCAGAAUUACUGGGCGUAAAGAGCACGUAGGUGGUUUUUUUAAGUCAGAUGUGAAAUCCCUGGGCUUAACCUGGAACUGCAUUUUGAAACUGAAAUACUAGAGUAUCGUAGAGGGAGGUAGAAUUCUAGGUGUAGCGGUGAAAUGCGUAGAUAUCUGGAGGAAUACCUGUGGCGAAAGCGGCCUCCUAAACGAAUACUGACACUGAGGUGCGAAAGCGUGGGGAGCAAACAGGGAUUAGAUACC